rnacentral:tRNA from 1 species
UAAGACCUGUCAGUAACUAACCGACAUCUUCUGAAUGCAACUCAAACACUUUCACUAAGCUAAGGCCUCU